ensembl:lncRNA
CUUGCUCACUUAUAAAAAGCUUAUUUCUCUUGGAAUUAAGCUCAUCAAGGCUUGAUUGGAUCCAUCCAUCUUCCCGUGACCUGUAGAAAAGUAUAAUUUUUAUUUUAUCUGGGGUUUUUUGUUGUUAAUAAAGGAGUGACAGUCUUUAGCAUCCUUCUACAUCCUGACCAGAAGCAGAAGUCUCAAAGGAAGAGGAUUGUUAUGUAAACACAAUGCUCUGGACUGGCGCAUCACUGUGUGACCCCGGUGUCUGAGAGGAUACUGGAACUGGCCAUGGAUCUGGUCCAAAGUGACAUCACUCAUGGAAUUCAAUCGAGUCAGCAAAAUUAAGGUUCUGAUUUGUGCUGGAGCGAGUGUGAAUGACUGACACAAGCUGUCAGUUAAAAUUUGACUGUGGCAUGAUUCGUUGCAGAACAUGAGAUUAUUAGAGAUAUUCUGAAUAAAGAAAAGUCUUCCAAGAAGCACUGGAAUCCCCUGAGGUUAAAUUAACCCGACAAACCCUGAGUCAGAACCAUAUAUGGAAGUGCUGCCAAGUGUGUUCUUACGGGAUUCUAUCUCACGUGUGAAGGCAUCUUCAUUCAAGCACAGGGGUAGACAUGGAAUAGCAGAGUGGCUCUGUCAGAUGGAUAGAUGGUCAAGAGACGCUGUGGCCCCUAAAGCUUACCCCUCUCUCUCUCUUCCACAGUUAACCUUGCAGACGUAAUCUUAGGGCUACAUUUUUCACAGAUGUAUGAAUUGACAAAGCCAAGAUAAAUAACACUCUAAACGUAAAUGAAAAAACUCGCCUACUGCUGCUCUGUGCCUAAUGCAAAAGUCCUACACUUCAUCACUUUUGUUUCCCUUGGAAUCUGCCGCAAUAGAUCAGAAAAGAAAAUGUUAAUAUAUGGCUCUGAAGCCCACUGCCAGUGUUUCUUCUUCGUUGAUGUGUUGCCUUGAUUUGAGACCUUUGAAGAUAAGGACAAUGUGAGAAGAGCUAUUGCAAAUCCAGCUCAGAUUCUGUUAUGUUACUCAAGAGCAUCCUGAGAAUGCCAAACCUAUGUGUGGUAAUGCUGGCCUUGCACAGGCUUACUGUGUCUCCCUGGGGAAGCUUCUUGACAACUUUGAGACUUGAAAAUACUUGGGCUGCAAAGGGGAAUGGUGAGACAAGUAGACCUGGACUUGUGGAGACACUCUCUUAAUGAAGCCUUUGACCUUCACUCACCCAUAAAGCCCCAGGGUCCUUUGUCUGUCCUGUGCUGGCAGAGGCCCCAAGACAAAGCAGUGUGCCUCACCAGGAGGCUGGAGUAGCAGAGAGGCAAGCCCAGAGGAGAGGACUGAAGGGAGCUGCAAAGACAGAAAAUUAGUCCUUAUGAAGCAAUUCUCCACCCUGCCUCUUCUAUGUUGUAUCCCAACCCAAGCCAUGAGGCAAUUGUGCAGAAAUGGGAGGGUUUGUUGUUGGCUGGAGGUCACCAAAAAUAGAAGAUGUAAGAAACCUAAUAUGCAAGGAGUGAUGAUAAAGUCCAAAACGUUUAAAAACAGGGCCAUUAUCAUAGUGAGUGUGAAGGCAGAACACACCCACCUAGCCCUUUGGUCCCUUUGUCUAGAACAGCUGCAGCAGGAGCAAUAAAAACAAGCAGCUCUGACUUUGGGAGAGUUUCCACCCAAUCCAUUGUUUCACCUAAAGAUCCUCAACCUUCCCAACCCAGAGCUGCACCAUGACAUACUCAUCCUUCCUCCCAGCCUUAAGGAGGAGAGCUGCAGCCCAGGACAUGGCCCGACAGCUUCGCCUGGGGAAGACUUGCUCAAAGCCCUCUGAAAUCUGGGCUGCUUUCUUUCCCUAAGCAGUUUGCCUGCCAGGCUCCUAUGGUCCCAACACCACAGCAUCUGCUGACCCUAUGCUCACCUCAGGCAGCAUGUUGCCUCUACUCUGGACCAAUUGGCCCUGAGCAGAACUCCAAAGUUUGAUUUCAGUCCUCGUCCAGCUACUUCCCCUUUUUAGGGCCUCAGUUUCCUCAGUGAAGAGGUUGGCAUAUGUUGGUUGUGAAGUUCUUUGCACAUCAUGUGUCUCAUGACAUUU